UAGGGAAUAUUGCACAAUGGGGGAAACCCUGAUGCAGCGACGCCGCGUGAGUGAUGAAGGCCUUCGGGUCGUAAAGCUCUGUCGUAUGGGACUAACAAAAUGAAGGUACCAUGCAAGAAAGGAUCGGCUAACUUCGUGCCAGCAGCCGCGGUAAGACGAGGGAUCCUAGCGUUGUUCGGAAUUAUUGGGCGUAAAGCGGGUGUAGGCGGACUUAUAAGUCAGGUGUGAAAUCCCAGGGCUCAACCCUGGAAGUGCACUUGAUACUGCAAGUCUUGAGUGUGGUAGAGGCUAUUAGAAUUCCUGGUGUAGUGGUGAAAUACGUAGAUAUCAGGAGGAAUACCGGAGGCGAAGGCGGAUAGCUGGGCCAACACUGACGCUGAGACCCGAAAGCGUGGGGAUCAAACAGGAUUAGAUACCCAAGUAGUCCCUGAGCGGGCUGGCAAGGCGC
rnacentral:rRNA from 1 species